rnacentral:rRNA from 1 species
GACGAACGCUGGCGGCGUGCUUAACACAUGCAAGUCGAACGGAAAGGCCCUGCUUUUGUGGGGUGCUCGAGUGGCGAACGGGUGAGUAACACGUGAGUAACCUGCCCUUGACUUUGGGAUAACUUCAGGAAACUGGGGCUAAUACCGGAUAGGAGCUCCUGCUGCAUGGUGGGGGUUGGAAAGUUUCGGCGGUUGGGGAUGGACUCGCGGCUUAUCAGCUUGUUGGUGGGGUAGUGGCUUACCAAGGCUUUGACGGGUAGCCGGCCUGAGAGGGUGACCGGCCACAUUGGGACUGGGAUACGGCCCAGCCUACUACGGGAGGCAGCAGUGGGGAAUAUUGCACAAUGGGAGAAAGCCUGAUGCAGCAACGCAGCGUGCGGGAUGACGGCAUUCGGGUUGUAAUCCGCUUUCGCCUGUGACGAAGCGUGAGUGACGGUAAUGGGUAAAGAAGCACCGGCUAACUACGUG